AGAAAAUAGAUACCCUGGUAGCCACGCCGUAAACGAUGGGCACUAGAUGCUUGGGGGAGCGACCCUCUGAGUGUCGUCGCUAACGCAUUAAGUGCCCCGCCUGGGGAGUACGGCCGCAAGGCUGAAACUCAAAGGAAUUGACGGGGGCCCGCACAAGCGGUGGAGCAUGUGGUUUAAUUCGACGCAACGCGAAGAACCUUACCUAGGCUUGACAUGCAUGGGAAAGCCCUGAGAAACCCAGGGCCCCUCUUCGGAGUCCAUGCACAGGUGCUGCAUGGCUGUCGUCAGCUCGUGUCGUGAGAUGUUGGGUUAAGUCCCGCAACGAGCGCAACCCCCGUUUCUAGUUGCCAGCGAGUAAAGUCGGGGACUCUAGAAAGACUGCCGGUGCCAAACCGGAGGAAGGUGGGGAUGACGUCAAGUCAUCAUGGUCUUUACGUCUAGGGCUACACACGUGCUACAAUGGCCGGUACAGCGGGUUGCGAGCUAGCGAUAGCAAGCCAAUCCCUUAAAGCCGGCCUCAGUGCGG
rnacentral:rRNA from 1 species